UCGAUGCUUGUUUUUGGCUCAGUUCGUGAUCCCAGGGUGGGAUCCAACCCCGUGUCAGGAUCCGUGCUGAUCAUGGAGCCUACUUAGGAUUUUCUCUCUCUCUGUCUCUCUCUCUCUCAAAUAAAAACUAAAUAAAAUAAAAACACCUAGGACAUCGAUGGUUUUGGCAAAUAGCACUUUUAUCCAAAAUAGGAGAUGAGUGGCUUCUCUUAUGUCUCUAUACACUAUUAUUCUGGUGCUUUCUGUGACCCACGUUCCUCUCCAUCUAUAAAUCAGAACCUAAGCUACACGCAGCACCCGAGGAAGAGGCACUCAAAGAAUAACACGUUAACAUUUGUCCUCUCUACAUAAUCACAAGUAGUGUGAAUAUUCUUCAAGCUAGAACCAGAAAGAUAUUGUGCCGAAAGCUUCUUGAAGAACUUUACAGUUCAGAGUCACGUUUAAUUGCUGAGAUGGGACCUGCGUGGCCAUUGGGUAAAUAUACCACAUCUUCUUUACCCGUUCACCUAGCGCUGAACACUUAGGUUCCUUCCAUAUGGUGGUUUUUGUAAAUACUCGUAGGAGGGCUGACUGCACUGAUUCCGUCUUUGGCCCUUCAUCUUGUUCACACCCCAGCAAGGACUUCCCUCAGGGCUGUGAAUUUCAGGCCCCAUGGAGGUGAAUACAUGUCCUGGUGAGAAUGUGGAGGGCUUGUUCUGAUCGUCCCUAAAGUGGUACACAGAAGGCACCAGUUUAGAUAAGUAGUGGAGAUGACUGGCCCACAGAAGGGUUUACUUUAGAUAACUAGUAGAGCUCUUUGGGCUCACAGAUGGUACCACCUUAGAUAACUACCUUGUGACCUCACCACCCGUGCGCUUCGCUCCAUAAAACCUGACAAUUAAGGUACGGACAGGGUGAAGAAAGGCCCAGAGAAGAGCUGCCGAGAAGGGUCUCCGCGGACCUGGAUCAUUGUCUACUGUCAAGUUUUUAGCUUGAAAUUUUCCUCUAUCGUCAAGUUUCUCUGUGGCUGCAAAAUGAUUGGUUCCUUGGACAAGGCAUACGAAUCCUUCAGGAAGAUGAUUUCCCGAGAGUUACCUAUUCCUAAUACCUAAAGAAUACUCUGAACAAAACAGAUAACUGCAAGUACAGAUCAGUCCCCCUAGGAUUAGUAUUCUGUGAUCCUCACUGCUCCAUCCAAGUGGACUUAAGUUUGUCAAGCAGCUUGUGUGAGUGCAACGAUUCAAAUGCAUCCUGUUAAAGAGCCACGGGUGAUUAGAUCAUAAAUCUGAAUGACCUUGAAGAUGAUGAAGGAAAUGCUUCUCUGUAAAGCGAUCAUCAUGCUGCCAGUUUCAUCAUUUACACAUUUUUACAGGUGCAGGGAAAAUGUUUAAUUUCAGAUAGCUUGCAAGAAUCACUCAGAAUAAAAUAUUCCUUUAUAAGAUCCCCAGAUAAUAAAGCAAAUGAACUAACUGCACUCCUCAAGAAUAUGUAUUUUUUUUUGUUUCUAUUUUUGCUCCUCAAAUAAGAAAAGGGCAAAAAAUUAGGGGGAGGAUUAUAAUUGCGUGACCUCAACCAUAAGCUUACUCUAGGAUUCUAGCUUCGGUUUCAUUGUGUUUAAAUAUUGCUAAUGACACAUUAACUCAUUGCCCCUUGCUGCAAAUUAUUAACUAAUUGUGAGUAAU